CUUUACAGCUCCCAACACCUAGAUACCUGUAUUUUUCCAAAGCCUUGGUUUGGGAGUCAUUUCCUGAUGCGUUACAGCUCCUUUGGACUGAGUAUGCUUCCGACGUCAGGAUGAGAAGACUGAGCCCCAGAGAAAUGAAGUAACAUGCCCAAGGUCAUGUGGCUGAAGAGUGGUAGAAAUGAGAAUUGAACGGAGCAAGAUGGCAUUGAUCCUUCUGUCUUCUGUUCCCGCUUAAGACCUAAAAUGGGAGAUUUUGCUCUGUAAAAAUUCAUCUAUUGAUAUUUAAGAAAAUGCUUACCAGGCGCCUCGAAUGGAACAGUUCUGUACAAGGUAGACCUACCAUGGUGAACAAAGGAAACAGUCCCCACCGUCUUUGUUCUGGAAGCUCAGUAAAGGAGCGUGGAAGGCA